rnacentral:rRNA from 1 species
UACGUAGGGGGCAAGCGUUGUCCGGAUUUAUUGGGCGUAAAGAGCGUGUAGGCGGUUUGGUAGGUCCGCUGUGAAAACUCGAGGCUCAACCUCGAGACGCCGGUGGAAACCAUCAGGCUAGAGUCCGGAAGAGGAGAGUGGAAUUCCUGGUGUAGCGGUGAAAUGCGCAGAUAUCAGGAAGAACACCCGUGGCUAAGGCGGCUCUCUAGUACGGUACUGACGCUGAGGCGCGAAAGCUAGGGGAGCAAACAGG